rnacentral:sRNA from 1 species
UUUUUAAAACCAAAAGGGUACUACCUUCAGAACGCUGAAAGACCUUUCCUAUAUCUGGAAAACUGAGUUCAACCACAUUCAAAAUGCUGACCGUGUUGAAUAUUUUUAUUUUAAGACAACUCAUUGGAACUGCAAGGGUAUCUACGCUUUGGCAUGCCAAAGCGAUCUUUAAUUCAUAUUAAUUUUUUAGAUUUUAAUUGUAGAGCAGCAGAUCAUCAUUUAUUUGAACAUCGGAAUAUAGCAAACUCAACUGGCGUCGACGAUCUUUCUCCUACUAAUGACAGUCUACCUUUGGUUGUAGUUAAUAAUAUGUGCGAUAAAGGCGCUGUAAAAUGUGAAGACAACGAAGUACUGGUUAAACUGAUCAGUGAUUUGGAGCUUAUGAAACGAGAAUUAUUAACGGAGCAGAAACGUUGCGCGGAAUUGGAGGAGCAAUUGAUGGCCAUAAGUAAAUACAAAACAUCUUUUAAGGUUUAUUUUUGUUUCUCUUUACUCUGAAAACACAAUCAAGCUAACCUAAAA